UAAAAGGGCCCUCAGCGGUCAGAUUCGGGUCCGCCCGAACUACUCUCUGACACAUGCUGGAUCGCCCCAGGUGCGAUGCUGCACCCAAAGUGGUGUCACUCCGCCUGAGGCGGUUGGGUAUGGAGCAUCAAGACAUACCCAGGGUGUAAUUUUUGUACCCGUGGGACAGUUAUUGCGCAAAUGCAACGACGUCCCC